UUGAUUCUGUUUUUUAAUCUGUGAUGUAGUAAUUUAUGGUGUUUGUUCAUCGAUUCUGUUUAUAUACAUUAAACUUGGAUCUCCUUAUCUCAUGUGAUAUUAUGCACGAGUUCUGUUUUGAAAUAAUGCCCUUUUGCUUGUAAUGUAGUUUUUCGAGUUGACUUUUCCUAUUUUCUUUUUCUAAUGGAAAUUGACAUUUUUCUUUUCUUAGCUUAUGGUUUUCAUAAUCUGGAUCCUUAUAAGUACCAUUGAAUACUUGCUUUUCUUUUGAUUUGUGUAUUUAGGUAUAUGAUUUUGAAGAGGGUUAGCUUUGUUUUUUAAAUAAUUUAUGUCCCCAUAUUGGUGUGACCAAAAGUUUCCCUUUUCUGCUCUUAUUUUCCCCAAAAUUGUUUUGUUCUUGGAAUUUUAUGUUUUGUAUUGCAUGUGGUCUUGUUUUUGCCUUCUGCUUUAUCUAUUUUUUUAGUCUUAGAAUUGUAUAUUUGUUUAAUAAGAAAUUAAGCUCUGAGGUAUAAGUCCCCUUUGACUGUCAAACUUUUCCAUGGUUGGUGAUUGACACUGUUUAUUUUUUGUUAGUAUUGUUUGUUGCACUUAGUAUCUUUGAAUCAUCUUGCACUUUGGUACUGUAGUUUGUGUUUUUAUGAUGAUGAACUGAAAGAAAGAGUCCAUGAAGCUAGUUUAAUUUACAGUAACAAUAAAUGAUGAAGAUGUUGAUGUUGAUCCAACAAUGGAGCCUUACGUUGUUGAUCUUGAUGAUUAGAAUAUAUGUUGUUUUAUUGUUAGUUUUUAUUAUUAAUGUACUUUGUUAUUAGUAAUAUGAAUGUAAUUGAUAUUUCAACUCAAAUUAUAAUUAGGAAAUUUGUUCAGAACUUUAUUUUUUGGGUAUUGUUUAAUUUUAAUAUGAACAUCUUUAGAAAUUUAUUUUUAAGAAAA